rnacentral:rRNA from 1 species
UACGUAGGGGGGCAAGCGUUGUCCGGAAUCAUUGGGCGUAAAGGGUGCGUAGGCGGCGCGGUAAGUCGGGUGUGAAAUCUCGGAGCUUAACUCCGAAACUGCAUUCGAUACUGCCGUGCUUGAGGACUGGAGAGGAGACUGGAAUUUACGGUGUAGCGGUGAAAUGCGUAGAUAUCGUAAGGAAGACCAGUGGCGAAGGCGGGUCUCUGGACAGUUCCUGACGCUGAGGCACGAAGGUCAGGGGAGCAAACGGG